rnacentral:lncRNA from 1 species
AACGAGACGAAACAAAUUGCUAAAAUUUAUACUUGUCUAUUAUAGGUUUAUAGCCUACUGUGAUUUUAAAUACCAAAUUGAACUUCGUAUUUUAUUAAAGUUUAUCUUGACCUAGUGUCGUUAUUUUAUUGGUUAUCUUAUUUCUUCAAAUUCUAGAUGCAUACUGUCAGUCAAGUUGACUUAGUUAAUAGCGCUCAGUCAAUUUCCAUCCAUUUAGAUCCUCAUGCUAUCAAAAGCCUAAAACUCAUGUUUGAAGCACACAUUUAAUUAGAAAUGUGUUAUAUUUGGUUUUCCCCAUGUGAUUUUUAUUUCUUGAUUGACAGAAAUGGAACCCAGGAGAACUAGAAGCUCUCAUCUUUCUCCAUCUUUAAAACCUUGUAGAAAUACGAGGAUGGUCAAGUCUCUACACGUGUGCCUUCUCAUGAGUUGGCCAAGCUGAAGGCCUCAAAACCAAUGCUACAUUAGAUGAAUUUGUGAGUGAUUGAUUGUGAUGCCAUGACGUCAUUAUCACCCAUCAUCACAUUGUGUUUGCUGUUCUGUUUACCCUAUUCCCAGUUUUUAUAGUGGAAUAAAAAUGUGCCAGGUAAGGAUAUUUUCUGAAUCUCACAAUUUUGGUGGUACCCUGCAACAGCAUGUUUGUUGUUAUGGCUGUUUUUUUUCUGUUUAGAAGGCAACCCAGCUAAGAUAUAGAGUUUCAGAGACAUGAAGAGUGUGAAGUGAAUAACCUGCCAUGUGUAAUUAAUGUACUACAUAUACAUGAUAUAUAUGUACAUAUCUGUACAUGAAAACAUAUAUAUCUGCAAACACUACUAAGGUUAUAAAUUUCGUUGCUGUGGUCAAUGGAAGGCGCUUGUUGCCGCUACUGGUCUUUUACGACGUCUUGAAAUCAGAUUUGAAUAAUAGUCUGACUCUGGGGAAUCCUCGCUCAUACUCGAGUAAACCUGCAGACAGGUCGGCCAGUUUGUCCAGACAGGAUGUCCUUCACGCUUGAAGGUCGCUGGAAACAUUACGUGUAAAACUGUCAAUGCGGUGGUGUAGAGGUUGGUCGAGAACUGGACGUGUUGCAUCAUUAUC